rnacentral:tRNA from 1 species
AGAGGUAUCGCUCAGUGACAGAGCAUGCGCUUAGCAUGCACAAGGUCCUGGGUUCAAUCCCCAGUACCUCCA